GGAGAGAUGGCAGAGUGGUUUAUUGCAACAAUUUCGAAAAUUGUCAUAACUAACUAUAGUUAUCAAGGGUUCGAAUCCCUUUCUCUCCU
rnacentral:tRNA from 1 species